GCAGGACUAUGUAAGCCUGUAAAGUAGCUCUUGAGAACAGGCCCUGGGAGGCAGCAUUGUCUCCCUCUCAUACGGCGCCUGAAGAACAUAUUAUAUUAUAUAACCUUUCUCCAAAGCCCGCCCUGCUUUGACUGGGACCCUCUUCCUUUAGAAGCCUGCUAAUAACAACUUGUGGAUGACAAGCUCUGUCUUAACAAGCCGGAUUAGUUAGUUUAAAGCAAUGAACUGAGGCCAUUUGUGCAGAUGCUAAUCAAAAAAAGAAAAAGGAAAAAAUUAGAAAAGACCCAUGAGCCUCCAUCUCUUAUCAACAUUUAGAUGCUUGAUGUGAGUGGAAAGAAUCUGCAAAUUCUUUUGUGAGACUCGGAAUCUCAUCAAGAAUGUAUCUGACUACAUGGGAAACUGAUUUUAUUUUGGCUUCUAAAUGACAAGCCUUCAUUAAGCAAGGAGCAUCUCUCCCUAGAAACAGCAUUCUCUAUACCCUGAUAGAAGGGAAGGAAGAAGGAGAUUCUCCCUUCUUUGGGGCCAGAAGACAGCUCAGAAAUCCUAUUUCUCCUCCUGAAAGAAAUACAUUUUUUUUCCUCAACCCCAAUAGACACAGGGUCUUGUUCUGUUGCCCAGCCUGGAGUGCAGUGGAACAGUCACAGCUCACUGCAGCCUCGACCUCCUGGGCUCAAAUGUUCUUCUUCCCACCUCGGCCUCCUGAAUAGCUAGGACCACAGGUGAUCUCUGCACACACUGACUCCCCUUUGCCUUAGGCCACGAGAGGAAGCAGCCUGAAACCCUCACCAGAAGCCAAUGCCAGUACUAUGCUUCUUGCACCAUCUGCAGAACCAUAAACCAAAUAAACCUCU
rnacentral:lncRNA from 10 species